AAUGAACGUUGGCGGCGUGGAUUAGGCAUGCAAGUCGCGCGACAAGGAACCUUCGGGUUCUGGAGGAGCGGCAAACGGGGUAGUAAGGCAUCGGAACGUACCCUCUUGUUGGGAAUAGCCGCGGGAAACUGCGAGUAAUGCCCAAAUAAUCCCGUACGGGGCAAAGGUCCGCCGCAGGAGGAGCGGCCGAUGUGAUACCAGCUAGUUGGUGAGGUAAUGGCUCACCAAGGCUUAGACGUCGUAGGGGGGUGUGAGAGCAUCGGCCCCCCACCACUGGGGACUGAGAUACUGCCCAGACACCUACGGGUGGCUGCAGUCGAGAAUCUUCGGCAAUGGGGCNCAAGCCUGACCGAGCAACGCCGCGUGCGGGAUGAAGG
rnacentral:rRNA from 1 species